rnacentral:rRNA from 1 species
GAUGAACGCUAGCGGCAGGCCUAACACAUGCAAGUCGAGGGGCAUCAUGGCGUAGCAAUACGCUGAUCGGCGACCGGCGCACGGGUGCGUAACGCGUAUGGAACCUACCCACCGCAGGGGGAUAACCCGCCGAAAGGCGGACUAAUACCCCAUGGUUCCCCGACCCUGCCUGGGGUUGGGGUAAAGCCUACGGGCGGCGGUGGAUGGCCCUGCGUGCCAUUAGCUGGCUGGUGGGGUAACGGCCCACCAGGGCGACGAUGGCUAGGGGGUCUGAGAGGACGAUCCCCCACACUGGUACUGAGACACGGACCAGACUCCUACGGGAGGCAGCAGUGAGGAAUAUUGGUCAAUGGGCGGAAGCCUGAACCAGCCAUGCCGCGUGCAGGAUGACGGCCCUACGGGUUGUAAACUGCUUUUAUAGGUGAAGAUUAUGACGGUAACCUAUGAAUAAGGAUCGGCUAAUUACGUG